rnacentral:rRNA from 1 species
AGGGAGGUUUGUAUCCUUGGGCUCAGAUUGAACGCUGGCGGUAUGCUUAACACAUGCAAGUCGAACGGUAACAGCUCCAGCUUGCUAGAGGCUGACGAGUGGCGGACGGGGGAGUAACGCGUAGGAAUCUGCCUUACAGUGGGGGACAACUCGGGGAAACUCGAGCUAAUACCGCAUAAUCUCUACGGAGGAAAGCUGGGGUAACCUGGCGCUGUUAGAUGAGCCUGCGUCGGAUUAGCUUGUUGGUGAGGUAAAAGCUCACCAAGGCUACGAUCCGUAGCUGUUCUGAGAGAAAGAUCAGCCACACUGGAACUGAGACACGGGCCAGACUCCUACGGGAGGCAGCAGUGGGGAAUAUUGGACAAUGGGGGAGACCCUGAUCCAGCAAUACCGCGUGUGUGAAGAAGGCCUGCGGGUUGUAAAGCACUUUCAGUAGGGAAGAAGUUGCGUCCUUAAAUAGGGGAUGUAAUUGACGCUACCUACAGAAGAAGCACCGGCUAACUCUGUGCCAGCAGCCGCGGUAAUACAGAGGGUGCAAGCGUUAAUCGGAAUUACUGGGCGUAAAGCGUGUGUAGGUGGCUAAGCU